rnacentral:rRNA from 1 species
AGUACAGACGAGUUUGAUCAUGGCUCAGAGCGAACGCUGGCGGCAGGCCUAAUACAUGCAAGUCGAACGGUUCCUUCGGGAACAGUGGCGGACGGGUGAGUAACACGUGGGAACGUGCCCUUUGGUACGGAACAACUGAGGGAAACUUCAGCUAAUACCGUAUGUGCCCUUCGGGGGAAAGAUUUAUCGCCAUUGGAGCGGCCCGCGUUGGAUUAGGUAGUUGGUGAGGUAAAGGCUCACCAAGCCUACGAUCCAUAGCUGGUCUGAGAGGAUGAUCAGCCACACUGGGACUGAGACACGGCCCAGACUCCUACGGGAGGCAGCAGUAGGGAAUCUUGCGCAAUGGGCGAAAGCCUGACGCAGCCAUGCCGCGUGAAUGAUGAAGGUCUUAGGAUUGUAAAAUUCUUUCACCGGGGACGAUAAUGACGGUACCCGGAGAAGAAGCCCCGGCUAACUUCGUG